rnacentral:rRNA from 1 species
UACGGAGGGUGCAAGCAUUAAUCGGAAUUACUGGGCGUAAAGGGUGCGUAGGCGGUUCGUUAAGUCUGUCGUGAAAUCCCCGGGCUCAACCUGGGAAUGGCGAUGGAUACUGGCGAGCUAGAGUGUGUCAGAGGAUGGUGGAAUUCCCGGUGUAGCGGUGAAAUGCGUAGAGAUCGGGAGGAACAUCAGUGGCGAAGGCGGCCAUCUGGGACAACACUGACGCUGAAGCACGAAAGCGUGGGGAGCAAACAGG